rnacentral:rRNA from 1 species
AAGGUCUGACCUGCUCACUGGACUUGUUUUGAAGAGCCGCGGUAUUUUGACCGUGCAAAGGUAGCAUAAUCAUUAGUCUCUUAAUUAGAGGCUGGAAUGAAUGGUUUGACGAGGAAUUGACUGUCUCUAUUUAAUGUCUAGAAUUUAACUUUUGAGUUAAAAGGCUCAAAUUUUUCUUUAGGACGAGAAGACCCUAUAGAGCUUAAUAUAUUAUUUUUAUAUAGUUUUUGGUUUGUUUUUCUAUAUUUAAUAUAAAAUAUUUUGUUGGGGUGACAUGAAGGAUAAAUAAACCCUUCAUUAUAAAAUCAUUGAUUUAUGUUAUUUUGAUCCAUAAUUUAUGAUCAUAAGAUUAAGUUACCUUAGGGAUAACAGCGUAAUUGUUUUGGAGAGCUCAAAUCGAUAAAGCAGAUUGCGACCUCGAUGUUGGAUUAAGAAAAAUGCUAGGUGCAGAGGCUUAGUGAUUAGGUCUGUUCGACCUUUAAAUUCUA